GCUAGGAUAGCUCAGUCAGUAGAGCAUGCGACUCUGAAUCUCAGGAUUGUGGGUUCAAGCCCUACAUUGGGCU
rnacentral:tRNA from 1 species